rnacentral:rRNA from 1 species
UACGGGGGGGUAAGCGUUGUUCGGAAUUACUGGGCGUAAAGGGCUCGUAGGCGGCCAACUAAGUCAGACGUGAAAUCCCUCAGCUUAACUGGGGAACUGCGUCUGAUACUGGAUGGCUUGGAUUCGGGAGAGGAAUGCGGAAUUCCAGGUGUAGCGGUGAAAUGCGUAGAUAUCUGGAGGAACACCGGUGGCGAAGGCGGCAUUCUGGACCGACAUUGACGCUGAGGAGCGAAAGCGUGGGGAGCGAACAGG